UAAAUUCUUGCAUAGAAACUAAAAAUAAUUGAAUCAAGAAUGCGAUGAAAAAAAAGAAGAAAAAAGUCAACUCAAUCGGACAUGUACAUAGAAAAGCCUUUCCCAUUAAAACAAACAUCCUCGACCAAAUCAUCUAUGCGGGCUUGCUUAGCAAAGAUUGAUGGGAUGGUUGAGGUGAUAGAAUUCUCAAAACACGAGUCCUCAAAAGAAAAAUAGCAGGAUAUAUCACCAUGUUUUACUACCCUGUUUCAAUAUUUAGCCAAAUAGCUAGCUCUAGCAAUAGGCAUAACAACCCAUAAAUCCAUUUUAUCCUCCCCUACCACAACCGUUACCUAAACUCCACAACACAAGUCACUCCUUUUCUUUCAACAAUU
rnacentral:lncRNA from 1 species